GCUGCGGAGGACUAGCCAUUGCGGCUGCUCCCGCCUUAAACUUGCUGCACGACCGCAAGCUUUUUGCUAGGUUAAUGAAGUGGUAUUUACAUAUAUUUCAGCAACCGUUCAAAGCUUGGUGGCGUUAAAUUUUAUGUUGCCUGUUAUGGGUGACUUUGAUUUUUGACCUCGAAUCAGACAAGGAUACCCGCUGAACUUAA
rnacentral:misc_RNA from 1 species